ensembl:lncRNA
CCCGCCCUCGCCGGGACCCUGCGCGCUGCGCUGACUGCAGCGGGGACACCUGGGCCUCCGGCGCGCUGCCGCGAGGGGAGGCUCGCAGCUCCUAGCUGGGAGAAGGAAGCUUGUUGGAAGAAGAAAAAAUUAUCUUUCUGGAGACUUAAAGCCACUCAAAAUAACAUAUUCCAGAGGAGUACCAUUCAGAGACGUUUUGCAUUAAAUGGACUAGAAAGAUAAGAAAACUGAGGUAGAGGCAGACUGAAUGGUAAGCUUGGGCUCACAAUGUUAAUAAGUAGCAUGUCCAGGCAUUGGAUUAUUGUCUUUGGGCUUUUAAUUUGUUUUUUGGGUUUUUUUUCCCCAUUAAGUUUAUUG